AACCUAGCACACCUGCGGUGUGUACCUGCGGAAGGAUCAUUACCGAGUUUACAACUCCCAAACCCCUGUGAACAUACCACUUGUUGCCUCGGCGGAUCAGCCCGCUCCCGGUAAAACGGGACGGCCCGCCAGAGGACCCCUAAACUCUGUUUCUAUAUGUAACUUCUGAGUAAAACCAUGAAUAAAUCAAAACUUUUAGCAAUGGAUCU
rnacentral:misc_RNA from 1 species